ensembl:lncRNA
AAUAUUUAAAAUAAUACUUUUUUUUUAUUAUUAUUUUUCUUUUGCUUUUGGGCAGAAAUAUGACCUGGACACUUCACAUUUUUCAGACUCUUCCCAGAAAUGGAAGUUGAUUUUCACUUUGCAUACUUUGAUGUCUUAAUUAAAAAUGAAGUAUUAGUAUUAUGAAAUUGAAACUGAAAAUAUCUUCAGUAUUUAAACUUAAAAAGUGUCACAGCUUACCCCAAAUCCCACAUCCACAGCCAACAAACAAACAUACUGAAUGGUAAUUUGGUCCAGGAGUCAGAGCCUUUGUUGUUUUUGGCACUGUCCUCUUUAAGCAGUGUUAAGCGAUCCUGAAACGAAGGAUAACAGGAAUGACAUCCACAACUGCUUAGCAGAAGCAUUUGCAAUGCAUUCAAAUAGCGUUUUGGACAGAAGUCAUACUAAAAAUGAAUGUCAUUGCAUUAGAUAAGAAAUUAUCAACGCAAUUUACAUUUAUGGUGAAUAAAGAUAGUUGAGCACACCUUUCCAGCAAACAAUUUGACAAAAACAAGUGAUAAAACAAGAGAUCUAGAAAAAAUGACGACUAAAAAGCACCAGAACUCCAAAAAUGGUUACAGACAACUGAUCUAUUGAAUGACAUUCACAAAUACUGUCUAAGCAGCGAUUUCUCAGUACUGCUUUUUUCGGACUUGUCAUCAGCACAAAAGCUUUGUGAGGUCAUUAGCACAUUGUGUCGCUGUCGUAGCAGGUGUGUGUGUGUGUGUGUGUGUGUGUGAGGACGCAGAAUGAGCGGCUCCCCGCAGGGACUCUUCAUUGUUUAAGAUUAUCGAUCGCCCCUCUGCUCUGAACUAAUGGGCGUCCCAGCCGUCAUUUAAAUGUGCAAACACUGUCCUUCCAAACAAACUGUGUCUUAUCAUAUUCCUUUUCAGUUCUAACCGAUGGUAUCAUGAUAGUUUGAAUACUUUGUGGGCUCUGUAACUAUGCAAAGAAGGAAAAAAAAAUACAUAUCAGGAUCCAUUAUACACAUUUUUUUAUGCCCUGUGAUGAUGCAAAUGGUACAAAACAAAAGCUUGAGCUUGGAUGCAAAAACAUAAUUGAUUCUACAGUAUGUUUGACAUUUUGUUUAUUUUGUAGGUGUGUAUUCAAGAGUGUUAUUAAUAAAAUAGAGUUCUUAUUAAAGCACGGUUUAUGGAUUUCUGUGAACUGCGAUGAAGCCAAAGAAGAUAGUAUUCUCGUUAAAGAUGUGUACACUUAGACCUCAUAGGAGUGGUUUCUGUCACAAUCGUUGCAGCUUUAUCAUCGCAUCCAUAUAAUAUGUCUUUAUGUUUGUUACAGUGUUUUGGGGUUGGGACAUUUGAAUGUUAUUAAAUGUGUCUUUAGAUUAUAAUUUUUUUUUAGAUAAAGUUGUUGAAUUUUUUUGCACUAACUAUUGGAAUAAAGAU